UACGGAGGGUGCAAGCGUUAUCCGGAUUCACUGGGUUUAAAGGGUGCGUAGGUGGUCAGAUAAGUCAGUGGUGAAAUCUCUGGGCUUAACCCGGAAACUGCCAUUGAUACUAUUUGUCUUGAAUUCUCUGGAGGUAAGCGGAAUAUGUCAUGUAGCGGUGAAAUGCUUAGAUAUGACAUAGAACACCCAUUGCGAAGGCAGCUUACUACGGAGACAUUGACACUGAGGCACGAAAGCGUGGGGAUCAAACAGG
rnacentral:rRNA from 1 species